rnacentral:rRNA from 1 species
GACGAACGCUGGCGGCGUGCUUAACACAUGCAAGUCGAACGGAAAGGCCCUGCUUUUGUGGGGUGCUCGAGUGGCGAACGGGUGAGUAACACGUGAGUAACCUGCCCUUGACUUUGGGAUAACUUCAGGAAACUGGGGCUAAUACCGGAUAGGAGCUCCUGCUGCAUGGUGGGGGUUGGAAAGUUUCGGCGGUUGGGGAUGGACUCGCGGCUUAUCAGCUUGUUGGUGGGGUAGUGGCUUACCAAGGCUUUGACGGGUAGCCGGCCUGAGAGGGUAACCGGCCACAUUGGGCCUGAGGUACGGCCCAGACUCCUACGGGAGGCAGCAGUGGGGAAUAUUGCACAAUGGGCGGAAGCCUAAUGCAGCAACGCCGCGUGCGGGAUGGCGGCCUUCGGGUUGUAAACCAAUUUCGCCUGUGACGAAGCGUGAGUGACGGUAAUGGGUAAAGAAGCACCGGCUAACUACGUG